UCUUCUUCACCGACCAUCACCACCCUCCUCCCCAGGUCCCUUGGGUGCUCCUCUGUGUCUGGUGUUAAUUGGACUGUUUAGUUUUCGGGGCGUCCCCAUGGUAACCGCGUGCGUCCCCCACCCCACCAAGCUGCUAUAAAAGAAGUUGUGGGAUGUCAGGAGCUCUCAUUCCUGCUGAGCUCCGCUACAGAAGCACCUGUCUGUUUGCACCUGUCGUCGCUUGACCUUGCUAUCAUCACACCGCCAUGAAACACGGAAGGAGCGGACGCCAAGCGGACACAGAACAUGGUCACGGGGGGGUUACCAACAGUCGAGAGCGAUGGCGCCAACACAAGGUGAAUGGGGCCUUCGCCGAGCUGCGGCGCCUCAUUCCCACGCACCCUCCUGACAGGAAGUUGAGCAAGAAUGAGACGUUGCGUCUUGCCCUGCGCUACAUACACUUCCUAGACCGCCUAUUGGAGUAGCAUGGGCCACAUCAUGGCCGGAUGGACCCUGAAGGAACCUUCCAACCCCUAUUUGGACACUCAUGGUCAUGUGACCAACAUUAACGUGUGAUAUUCACAUGGACGUCAACAUGUGGUUCUCUUCAGAACCUUCAGUAACCAGAUUUGCUUCCUUUCAUAAUAAAAGGAACCUUUGGUGCUUUUAUUCUUC